rnacentral:miRNA from 1 species
UACUCCAAAGAGUGGCAAUCAUGU